UACGUAGGGUGCAAGCGUUAUCCGGAAUUAUUGGGCGUAAAGAGCUCGUAGGCGGUUUGUCGCGUCUGCUGUGAAAACUGGAGGCUCAACCUCCAGCCUGCAGUGGGUACGGGCAAACUAGAGUGCGGUAGGGGAGAUUGGAAUUCCUGGUGUAGCGGUGGAAUGCGCAGAUAUCAGGAGGAACACCGAUGGCGAAGGCAGAUCUCUGGGCCGUAACUGACGCUGAGGAGCGAAAGCGUGGGGAUCAAACAGG
rnacentral:rRNA from 1 species